UGGGGAAUAUUGCACAAUGGAGGGAACUCUGAUGCAGCGACGCCGCGUGAACGAAGAAGGCUUUCGAGUCGUAAAGUUCUUUUAUAUGGGAAGAUAAUGACGGUACCAUAAGAAAAAGCCCCGGCUAACUACGUGCCAGCAGCCGCGGUAAUACGUAGGGGGCUAGCGUUGUCCGGAAUCACUGGGCGUAAAGGGUUCGCAGGCGGAAAUGCAAGUCAGGUGUAAAAGGCAGUAGCUUAACUACUGUAAGCAUUUGAAACUGCAUAUCUUGAGAAGAGUAGAGGUAAGUGGAAUUUUUAGUUUAGCGGUGAAAUGCGUAGAUAUUAAAAAGAAUACCGGUGGCGAAUGCGACUUACUGGGCUCAUUCUGACGCUGAGGAACGAAAGCGUGGGUAGCAAACAGG
rnacentral:rRNA from 1 species